GACGAUGUUAGAAAUGAACUAGACAUUGUAAAUGGUGAUAAUAAGUUGAAAUUAGAUAUAUCUGAAAACUUGAACACUAUUAUCACAGCAAAGUCUCUUACAUCUGAUGCAUCUAUUCAAGACAAUAUUGAAGGAGAACAACAGAUCUACAAGUGUAGAAGUUAAAAAUGCCAACAUUAAUCUGAUUAAUCUAGAGAUUUAUUUCCAAUUCAAAAGAUCAAAGUCCAAUUCAACCAAUUUUAAAAUCAUUUCCUAUGAACUCUGAAAGAAGGUAUUAUGAAGUACAUAACUGGUUGGAAUAUUCAAUUUCAAGAGAUGCAGAUUUUUUGCUUUUCCUGCAGGCAUUUUCUUAAUAAUAAUAAUGUUUGUGGUCAAAUUGAAAAUAAUAUUAUAAUUGUGCAACAAGGCUUUAAUCUUUGGAAGACACAGAAACAGUCAUUUAUAAAACAUGAACUAAGUGAAAGACAUUUAUCAAACAUUGAAAAAUGGACGAUGUACUUAAGUGUAAAAAAUAAAAAUAAUUCAGUGGCCAAUGCAUUGUUUCAUUCUAGAUCUCAAGCAAUUACUGAAAAUCGUGAACACGUUAAAUUUUUGUUUAAAAACAACAUUAUUUUUAGGAAAGCAAGGACUUG